rnacentral:rRNA from 1 species
UACAGAGGGUGCGAGCGUUAAUCGGAAUUACUGGGCGUAAAGCGCGCGUAGGCGGCUUUGCAAGUCGGGUGUGAAAUCCCCAGGCUUAACCUGGGAACUGCACUCGAGACUGCAUUGCUAGAGUAUGGGAGAGGGAAGUGGAAUUUCCGGUGUAGCGGUGAAAUGCGUAGAUAUCGGAAGGAACAUCAGUGGCGAAAGCGACUUCCUGGACCAAUACUGACGCUCAUGUGCGAAAGCGUGGGGAGCAAAC